rnacentral:lncRNA from 1 species
AUAACAACAACGACGAAACAAAACAAAUUAUUAGGUUUUUAUUUUAUUUUAUUUUAUAAUAUACACUUAUUUAAUUAAUAUCUUUUAUCUUUUGGGGUUUAUAUAUUUAUUUACUACGGUCUGGAUUUUUGGAUAUUUAUUUUUCUGUUUCACGUAGUGUUAGGGAUCCCCGUAUCAGUAGCAAAGCGGGCGAUCUUCUUAUUAGGGUAUACAUAAGUUACGGCGUCGUUUCUAAUCCCCGGUUGAAGCGGACGUCAAACGACGUUUAAUUAUUUUUCUAAAUAUUUUGACUAGACGCUUUCUGUGGAUAAACCAAGAAUAUUCGCCUAUUCGGGACGGCCAUGGCGCGGAAAUAACGGAUGAGUCCUUCGAAAGUUAAAGUCUACGAGUAUGCAAUUUUUUUUUAUAUAUUUUAAAAAAAUAUGUAUUUUUACAUUUAUAUAAAAUUAAACACGAGAAAAGGUUUUUUCUAAAAAAAUUCAAAUAAUAUAAACUUAAUUUGACUAAUAAUAAGCAUUUUCAAUAGUUAUUGAUGAAUCGGACUGAAAGUUAAGUCUUAGGUCAAAUCCAAAUACUUAGGAAUACAACAGAAUAUUUAGCAUAAAUUUGGAGUUUAUUUUUUUUUUAAUUCUUGAUUUGUCAAAUCUGAAAGAAGAAAAAAAAAUCAUUGUUUCAAAAUGAUUAUGGUUUUUGUUUCAUUAAAUAACAAUUAAUAACACUGUUUAAAAUGUAUUAUUGAAGUAAUCACUAAUCAGACACGCCACCUUCAAAAUAUUUCAUCAAUCUCCGCCUUUUAGGUGAUUACAUAGUUGUUGUUUAAUGUUUUAUCCUCUAUCUUUCAAACAACAACAAACGAUAAGAAAGAGUUAAAAAGAAAAUCGCCAAAUUCCAUUUUAAUUUUACAAUUUCCUCGAAAAUCGCAAAGAGAGAGAGAUCGGAGAUAUUUGUUUUGGCAAGGUAAAAGUUGUGGAUAGUUGAUGCGCAUCCUGCAUUUGCAGAUACAAAUCAGUGAUUCUGAAUAUGUGCUGAGUUCUCCCAAAGCCUUUUAAAGCAGAUGAGAUGAGAGUGUCAACCCAUGCAAAUAGGUAUUUCUUGCUGCUGUUUUAGGUUACAUUCUCUAAUGGAAUAUGUUAAUUGGGUUUUAAUAUAAUAUAUCUUGCAUCAGAUUUUCGUUUAACCUGUUGGCUUCAUUGUUGAAU